UACGGGGGGGCAAGCGUUGUUCGGAAUUACUGGGCGUAAAGGCUCGUAGGUGGCCAACUAAGUCAGACGUGAAAUCCCUCGGCUUAACCGGGGAACUGCGUCUGAUACUGGAUGGCUGGAGUUUGGGAGAGGGAUGCGGAAUUCCAGGUGUAGCUGGUGAAAUGCGUAGAUAUCUGGAGGAACACCGGUGGCGAAGGCGGCAUCCUGGACCAAUUCUGACGCUGAGGAGCGAAAGCCAGGGGAGCAAACGGG
rnacentral:rRNA from 1 species